GACGAACGCUGGCGGCGCGCUUAACACAUGCAAGUCGUGCGGUGUGGAAGGCAAGUCUUACGACAAGCCUUCGACACAGCGGCGAACGGGUGAGUAACACGUGAGUAGCUGUCCUAAGGAGGGGGAUAACGCCUGGAAGCGGGUGCUAAUACCCCAUAUGCCUCGCAAGAGGUGAAAGUGUACUUGCUACAGCCUUAGGGUGUGCUCGCGGCUGAUUAGCUAGAUGGUGAGGUAAUGGCUCACCAUGGCGACGAUCAGUAGCCGGACUGAGAGGUUGAACGGCCACAUUGGGACUGAGACACGGCCCAGACUCCUACGGGAGGCAGCAGUGGGGGAUAUUGCACAAUGGAGGAAACUCUGAUGCAGCGAUGCCGCGUGGAGGAAGAAGGUCUUCGGAUUGUAAACUCCUGUUAUCGGGGACGAAGAUGACGGUACCCGACGAGGAAGCUCCGGCUAACUACGUG
rnacentral:rRNA from 1 species